GAUGAACGCUGGCGGCGUGCCUAAUACAUGCAAGUCGAGCGAACGGACGAGAAGCUUGCUUCUCUGAUGUUAGCGGCGGACGGGUGAGUAACACGUGGAUAACCUACCUAUAAGACUGGGAUAACUUCGGGAAACCGGAGCUAAUACCGGAUAAUAUUUUGAACCGCAUGGUUCAAAAGUGAAAGACGGUCUUGCUGGCACUUAUAGAUGGAUCCGCGCUGCAUUAGCUAGUUGGUAAGGUAACGGCUUACCAAGGCAACGAUGCAUAGCCGACCUGAGAGGGUGAUCGGCCACACUGGAACUGAGACACGGUCCAGACUCCUACGGGAGGCAGCAGUAGGGAAUCUUACGCAAUGGGCGAAAGCCUGACGGAGCAACGCCGCGUGAGUGAUGAAGGUCUUCGGAUCGUAAAACUCUGUUAUUAGGGAAGAACAUAUGUGUAAGUAACUGUGCACAUCUUGACGGUAACUAAUCAGAAAGCCACGGCUAACUACGUG
rnacentral:rRNA from 1 species